CAAACAUAACUCAAAACAUAACCUUAUAAAAAUUUUAGUUGUUAAAAACUUGUUAAAAAUGUUAAAUGAGUUAUUUAUUAUUGUUUUCUUAUAUUUUGCAAUUGUUAAGCUGGUUUACUUCGAAUUUACAAGGCAUAUUGUAAUAGGCAUUAUUUACCAUUACUUUGGUAUUUCUCCAGCUUUCUACAAGAAGUUUGGUGAUUUUGAAUUGGGAUUAUGAUGAAUUCAACCCAAAGGAAAUACAUAAUGUGAAUAUUUUAUGUGGAAAAGUUCCAGACACCAUAAAAAUUUGAGUUUCUUCCUGUUCCCAUGGAUGAAAAUGGGUUUGCAGAAUGAAAAGAAAUUGUUCAAUGUAAUAAACUUUUUAUGAACAGUCCUCAAUAUUGUUACAUUAACUUUGAAAUAUGCACUUUACAUUCUGAGAAGCAGGCCUUUGCAGAAAUGCUGAAAAGCGGUUGAAAAACAAUGCAAAAUAAAAUAAACAAAAUACAUCUUGAGAUUAAACAUUCCAGUUGAAGGUGUAUUCUUUCUUAAACUGGAAUGAUAAUUUUGUAAUUAUGUAGGCACAUCUAUUGAGAAGUUACAACCAGUGGCAAAGUGCCUCAAGGGAAUCUAUGUAUGAUAUUAUAAUUGGAGGGACAUCUCAUCUGAAGGAAUUACAAUUAUUUGCCAGUAUGCCAAAUGAAUUUUCAACAUCAGUCAUACUUUCGUGAAUUUAUUGAUGAAAAUAAAACUAGGUACAUGAUUUAUUAUUUACUUCCAAGGGAUUCUAAGAUACUAUGUGUAAAAAGUCCAAUAUGCAGUGAUGAGCGUGCUAAUAACCCGCAAAAUAUGGGAUAUAACGCUAAAGAUGGGAAACAUGGGAUGCUGUCUGAAGUAAAAAGAGAUGAAACUUCUAGAGGUGGAAAUUAUCGAUAUAAACAUAUAAAUUAAUAUAUAUUACAUAGUUUAUUAUU
rnacentral:lncRNA from 1 species